CCAGAUGCAGUGAACCGUGGUAUAGAGAAUGUGGACAAGGGGCUGGGGCCGGCAAUGUGGUCUACAAUUCCAAGAAGAUGAAAAUAUUGUGUCAGUGAUAUCAACGCCUUUAAUCAAACUUGCCCACCACCAAGACUCAGGUUUUCUGGAUUUUCUUCCUUGAUCAGACAAAGAAAAUAUUCUGAAUUCCAAAGAAAGAGGGGAAAUA
rnacentral:lncRNA from 1 species